rnacentral:rRNA from 1 species
UAGUCUACGCCGUAAACGAUGGAUACUAGUUGUUUGGAUUUCGGUCUGAGUGACUAAGCGAAAGUGAUAAGUAUCCCACCUGGGGAGUACGUUCGCAAGAAUGAAACUCAAAGGAAUUGACGGGGGCCCGCACAAGCGGUGGAGCAUGUGGUUUAAUUCGACGCAACGCGCAGAACCUUACCUAGGCUAGAAAAAGUAGGAAUCCCUCAGAGACGAGGGAGUGCCCGCAAGGGAAUCUACGUCCAGGUGCUGCAUGGCUGUCGUCAGCUCGUGUCGUGAGAUGUUGGGUUAAGUCCCGCAACGAGCGCAACCCUCAUCCUUAGUUGCCAUCAGGUUUGGCUGGGGACUCUAAGGAAACUGCCGGUGAUAAGCCGGAGGAAGGUGAGGAUGACGUCAGGUCCUCAUGGCCCUUACGGGCUGGGCUACACGCGUGCUACAAUGGCGGCUACAAUGGGAUGCAAUAGGGUGACCUGGAGCUAAUCCUCAAAGGCCGUCUCAGUUCGGAUUGUU